GGUCAAGUGAAGAAGCGCAUACGGUGGAUGCCUUGGCAGUCAGAGGCGAUGAAAGACGUGGUAGCCUGCGAAAAGCUUCGGGGAGUCGGCAAACAGACUUUGAUCCGGAGAUCUCUGAAUGGGGGAACCCACCUAGGAUAACCUAGGUAUCUUGUACUGAAUCCAUAGGUGCAAGAGGCGAACCAGGGGAACUGAAACAUCUAAGUACCCUGAGGAAAAGAAAUCAACCGAGAUUCCCUUAGUAGUGGCGAGCGAACGGGGAUUAGCCCUUAAGCUUCAUUGAUUUUAGCGGAACGCUCUGGAAAGUGCGGCCAUAGUGGGUGAUAGCCCCGUACGCGAAAGGAUCUUUGAAGUGAAAUCGAGUAGGACGGAGCACGAGAAACUUUGUCUGAACAUGGGGGGACCAUCCUCCAAGGCUAAAUACUACUGACUGACCGAUAGUGAACCAGUACCGUGAGGGAAAGGCGAAAAGAACCCCGGAGAGGGGAGUGAAAUAGAACCUGAAACCGUAUGCGUACAAGCAGUGGGAGCCUACUUGUUAGGUGACUGCGUACCUUUUGUAUAAUGGGUCAGCGACUUAUAUUCAGUGGCAAGCUUAACCGUAUAGGGUAGGCGUAGCGAAAGCGAGUCUUAAUAGGGCGUUUAGUCGCUGGGUAUAGACCCGAAACCGGGCGAUCUAUCCAUGAGCAGGUUGAAGGUUAGGUAACACUGACUGGAGGACCGAACCCACUCCCGUUGAAAAGGUAGGGGAUGACUUGUGGAUCGGAGUGAAAGGCUAAUCAAGCUCGGAGAUAGCUGGUUCUCCUCGAAAGCUAUUUAGGUAGCGCCUCAUGUAUCACUCUGGGGGGUAGAGCACUGUUUCGGCUAGGGGGUCAUCCCGACUUACCAAACCGAUGCAAACUCCGAAUACCCAGAAGUGCCGAGCAUGGGAGACACACGGCGGGUGCUAACGUCCGUCGUGAAAAGGGAAACAACCCAGACCGCCAGCUAAGGUCCCAAAGUUGUGGUUAAGUGGUAAACGAUGUGGGAAGGCUUAGACAGCUAGGAGGUUGGCUUAGAAGCAGCCANNNNNNNNNNNNNNNNNNNNNNNNNNNNNNNNNNNNNNNNNNNAGUGACGCGGUAGAGGAGCGUUCUGUAAGCCUGUGAAGGUGAGUUGAGAAGCUUGCUGGAGGUAUCAGAAGUGCGAAUGCUGACAUGAGUAACGACAAUGGGUGUGAAAAACACCCACGCCGAAAGACCAAGGGUUCCUGCGCAACGUUAAUCGACGCAGGGUUAGUCGGUUCCUAAGGCGAGGCUGAAAAGCGUAGUCGAUGGGAAACAGGUUAAUAUUCCUGUACUUCUGGUUACUGCGAUGGAGGGACGGAGAAGGCUAGGCCAGCUUGGCGUUGGUUGUCCAAGUUUAAGGUGGUAGGCUGAAAUCUUAGGUAAAUCCGGGGUUUCAAGGCCGAGAGCUGAUGACGAGUCGUCUUUUAGAUGACGAAGUGGUUGAUGCCAUGCUUCCAAGAAAAGCUUCUAAGCUUCAGGUAACCAGGAACCGUACCCCAAACCGACACAGGUGGUCGGGUAGAGAAUACCAAGGCGCUUGAGAGAACUCGGGUGAAGGAACUAGGCAAAAUGGCACCGUAACUUCGGGAGAAGGUGCGCCGGCUAGGGUGAAGGAUUUACUCCGUAAGCUCUGGCUGGUCGAAGAUACCAGGCCGCUGCGACUGUUUAUUAAAAACACAGCACUCUGCAAACACGAAAGUGGACGUAUAGGGUGUGACGCCUGCCCGGUGCCGGAAGGUUAAUUGAUGGGGUUAGCGCAAGCGAAGCUCUUGAUCGAAGCCCCGGUAAACGGCGGCCGUAACUAUAACGGUCCUAAGGUAGCGAAAUUCCUUGUCGGGUAAGUUCCGACCUGCACGAAUGGCGUAACGAUGGCGGCGCUGUCUCCACCCGAGACUCAGUGAAAUUGAAAUCGCUGUGAAGAUGCAGUGUAUCCGCGGCUAGACGGAAAGACCCCGUGAACCUUUACUGUAGCUUUGCACUGGACUUUGAGCCUGCUUGUGUAGGAUAGGUGGGAGGCUUUGAAGCGUGGACGCCAGUUCGCGUGGAGCCAUCCUUGAAAUACCACCCUGGCAUGCUUGAGGUUCUAACUCUGGUCCGUGAUCCGGAUCGAGGACAGUGUAUGGUGGGCAGUUUGACUGGGGCGGUCUCCUCCUAAAGAGUAACGGAGGAGUACGAAGGUGCGCUCAGACCGGUCGGAAAUCGGUCGCAGAGUAUAAAGGCAAAAGCGCGCUUGACUGCGAGACAGACACGUCGAGCAGGUACGAAAGUAGGUCUUAGUGAUCCGGUGGUUCUGUAUGGAAGGGCCAUCGCUCAACGGAUAAAAGGUACUCCGGGGAUAACAGGCUGAUACCGCCCAAGAGUUCAUAUCGACGGCGGUGUUUGGCACCUCGAUGUCGGCUCAUCACAUCCUGGGGCUGAAGCCGGUCCCAAGGGUAUGGCUGUUCGCCAUUUAAAGUGGUACGCGAGCUGGGUUUAGAACGUCGUGAGACAGUUCGGUCCCUAUCUGCCGUGGACGUUUGAGAUUUGAGAGGGGCUGCUCCUAGUACGAGAGGACCGGAGUGGACGAACCUCUGGUGUUCCGGUUGUCACGCCAGUGGCAUUGCCGGGUAGCUAUGUUCGGAAAAGAUAACCGCUGAAAGCAUCUAAGCGGGAAACUUGCCUCAAGAUGAGAUCUCACUGGGAACUUGAUUCCCCUGAAGGGCCGUCGAAGACUACGACGUUGAUAGGCUGGGUGUGUAAGCGUUGUGAGGCGUUGAGCUAACCAGUACUAAUUGCCCGUGAGGCUUGACCAU
rnacentral:rRNA from 1 species